GACGUAGGGGCAAGCGUUGUCCGGAUUUAUUGGGCGUAAAGAGCGUGUAGGCGGCCUGGAAGGUCAGCUGUGAAAACUCGAGGCUCAACCUCGAGACGUCGGUUGAAACCACCUGGCUAGAGUCCGGAAGAGGAGUGUGGAAUUCCCGGUGUAGCGGUGAAAUGCGCAGAUAUCGGGAAGAACACCCGUGGCGAAGGCGGCACUCUGGGACGGUACUGACGCUGAGACGCGAAAGCGUGGGGAGCGAACAGG
rnacentral:rRNA from 1 species